rnacentral:rRNA from 12 species
AUAACGGUCCUAAGGUAGCGAAAUUCCUUGUCGGGUAAGUUCCGACCUGCACGAAUGGCGUAACCAUGGCCACGCUGUCUCUACCCGAGACUCAGUGAAAUUGAAAUCGCAGUGAAGAUGCUGUGUACCCGCACCUAGACGGAAAGACCCCGUGAACCUUUACUACAGCUUGGCACUGAACAUUGAACCUACUUGUGUAGGAUAGGUGGGAGGCUUCGAAGCAUAGACGCUAGUUUAUGUGGAGCCGUCCUUGAAAUACCACCCUGGUAUGUUUGAUGUUCUAACGUUGGCCCCUUAUCGGGGUUGCGGACAGUGUCUGGUGGGUAGUUUGACUGGGGCGGUCUCCUCCCAAAUAGUAACGGAGGAGCACGAAGGUUAGCUAAUCACGGUCGGACAUCGUGAGGUUAGUGCAAUGGCAUAAGCUAGCUUAACUGCGAGACAGACACGUCGAGCAGGUACGAAAGUAGGUCAUAGUGAUCCGGUGGUUCUGAAUGGAAGGGCCAUCGCUCAACGGAUAAAAGGUACGCCGGGGAUAACAGGCUGAUACCGCCCAAGAGUUCACAUCGACGGCGGUGUUUGGCACCUCGAUGUCGGCUCAUCACAUCCUGGGGCUGAAGCCGGUCCCAAGGGUAUGGCUGUUCGCCAUUUAAAGUGGUACGCGAGCUGGGUUUAGAACGUCGUGAGACAGUUCGGUCCCUAUCUGCCGUGGACGUUGGAGAUUUGAGGAAAGCUGCUCCUAGUACGAGAGGACCGGAGUGGACGAACCGCUGGUGUUCGGGUUGUGUCGCCAGACGCAUUGCCCGGUAGCUAUGUUCGGAUAGGAUAACCGCUGAAAGCAUCUAAGCGGGAAGCCUCCUUCAAGACGAGAUUUCCCUUAGGACUUGAUCCUACUAAAGUGCCGUUCAAGACGAGGACGUUGAUAGGCUGGGUGUGUAAGUGCAGUGAUGCAUUGAGCUAACCAGUACUAAUUGCACGU